GAUGAACGCUGGCGGCAUGCCUAAUACAUGCAAGUCGAGCGGAGCGGGGACGGGUGAGUAACACGUGGAUAACCUCCUAUAAGACGGGGAAAACUUCGGGAAACCGGAGCUAAACCGGAAACUUAUAGAUGGAUCCGCGCUGCUUUAGCUAGUUGGUAAGGUAACGGCUUACCAAGGCAACGAUGCAUAGCAGGUCUGAGAGGGUGACCAGCCACACUGGAACUGGGACACGGUCCAGACUCCGACGGGAGGCAGCAGUGGGGAAUUUUGCGCAAUGGGCGAAAGCCUGACGGAGCAACGCCGCGUGUGUGAUGAAGGUCUUCGGAUCGUAAAGCUCUGUUAUCAGGGAAGCGGUACCUAAUCAGAAAGCCACGGCUAACUACGUGCCAGCAGCCGCGGUAAUUC
rnacentral:rRNA from 1 species